rnacentral:lncRNA from 1 species
CCAAAUUCAACAAUCAAAUUGAUUUCUUCAAACCAAUUAAUCCCCUUGAUUUCUUAGAAAACGUUUAGAAAUGCGAGUAGACCUGUAUUUUCAAAACAAUUAUUUUUUUUUGUUAAAAAUUAAUUUUUUUGUAUAUUUUGAAUCAUUUUGAUGCGCUAAUAUUAAAAAUAAUUUUUAAAAAAUUAAAUAAAUAUAUUAUUUUAAUAUAUUUCAACAUGAAAAAUACUUUAAAAAAAAAUCACAACUCCUUGUAAUAGUCUCUCCUUGAAAACACCCGCACAACACAAAGAAGAGGGGGAGCUCUCAUCCACUAACCCAGCAGCCGCCUGCAUCAACAUAAAGCCUUUCGAGGAAAAAACCGGAGAAAAACAACACAAAGCCUCUCAUUCACGGGGGAACCAGAGAAAUAAACCAAAAAUAGAAACAACCAAAAACAACCGUCACCAUCAGCCCCCUGAUUUCACCGAGGACCAGCCUCUUCAAACCAGUACCAACAUCAGCACAAUCAACGUAGAACCUCUUAAACACAGCGGAAGAAAACCAAGAACACAGCCUCUGAUUCCAGGAAGGACAACACUGAGAGGAGCCACGGGGGAUGAACAACAGCCUGGGGAAUUCCAUAAAAACAAAUAAACCAACGUCCAACCUAAUCACCCUUCAUCACCCCCAUUAACCGAUCCUGCACUCUCGUCUUUUCACAGUCCAAAACCCAAAAUAUCCCCCACAAUUCCAGUUAGCAAACCAAAUAUCAAACAUUCUCCAAAAACCACCGUACACUCUCAUAUUUCCCGGCUAAAAUUGACAUCUUCCCAGAAUCAUCCGAUCACUUCUUAGCCAUAAACCACCAAGCACCACCACCCAAUAAACUGAAACCACCUUCCUCAACACCCCGCCUAUCUUGUAAAACCCAGUUACAAUAUUAUGAUAUUGGAAAAAUGUUAAGAGGUUUAACCUCACGAAUCAAAAGAAGAUGAAGAUUUAUGAAUUUAAAUCGUAAUUCUUAAGAAAAAAAACUGAGAAGGGAUAUCUAAUAAAAAUAUAUAUAUAUUUAAACUAAAGAGGCAUGAUUAUAAUUAUGAGUACAAAGAAAAUAUAAAUAGAAACUUAGCUUUUAAGUUGGCUAGCCAUUUGAGGGAGAAAAAGAGAAAAUAAUUGAAGCAAAUUAAUGAGAAAUUCUUGCUAAAAAAACACCAAAAAAAGAUAAAUAAAAGGAUCAGAUAGGGGUUAGGAAGGGACCAAGCAAGGAAUUUGAAGAUUAUCAAGGAUUGUUUGGUAAAGAGAGGCCAACUUUAAAAAAGAAGAGGAAAA